rnacentral:rRNA from 1 species
AAUAGAUACCCCGGUAGUCCAUGCCGUAAACGUUGGGAACUAGGUGUGGGUCUCAUUCCACGAGAUCCGUGCCGCAGCUAACGCAUUAAGUUCCCCGCCUGGGGAGUACGGCCGCAAGGCUAAAACUCAAAGGAAUUGACGGGGGCCCGCACAAGCGGCGGAGCAUGCGGAUUAAUUCGAUGCAACGCGAAGAACCUUACCAAGGCUUGACAUACACCGGAAUCACUCAGAGAUGGGUGCGUCUUCGGACUGGUGUACAGGUGGUGCAUGGUUGUCGUCAGCUCGUGUCGUGAGAUGUUGGGUUAAGUCCCGCAACGAGCGCAACCCUCGUUCUAUGUUGCCAGCACGUGAUGGUGGGGACUCAUAGGAGACUGCCGGGGUCAACUCGGAGGAAGGUGGGGAUGACGUCAAAUCAUCAUGCCCCUUAUGUCUUGGGCUUCACGCAUGCUACAAUGGCCGUACAAGGACGUGCGAACGCGAGUGGAGCGAAUCCAAAAACCGGUACCGUCAGUUCGGUAUAGGGUCGUGCGAACC